GAAAUAUUCCCUUCAUCCGAAAUUAUUUGUCACAAAAAUGAAUAAAUAUGAAUGUAUCUAGAACUAAAAUGCAUCUAGGUACAUCCAUCCCUCCGACAAGUUUUCCGGAUGGAGGGAGUAAUAG
rfam:Hordeum vulgare subsp. vulgare, WGS project CAJW01000000 data, contig: morex_contig_1572469